UAUUCUGCUCCAUGGGGAAGGAUGAGAAGCUUCGACUAAGGUUCGACUCGAGCGAAGCGAGAGAACGUUGCCGCAGGCAACGGCCCGAAGGGCGAGGCGCUUUAGCGCCGAGUAAUCCUUCCCCCACCACCA
rnacentral:sRNA from 1 species